rnacentral:lncRNA from 1 species
GAAAGCUUUUCUAUUAGCUGUGUGACCUACUUUCCCUUUCCCGAGGCGACCUCUCUAUUUGCGCUUUUAUCUCUGCCUGGAAGAACGUUGGUGGGCUGGCAUCGUAUUAUCUCUGCUAUUGAAAGCACAAGGAGGAGGAAUUGCAGCUGGCCACUAGAGGGAGCCUCAUUCACGGAUCUUAUGGAAUCAAGUUUAGGAGGACCAAGUGUCGCCACGUCUAGGCUUCCUGGGCACUUUGACACCAUCCAGGCUUCUUGUGAGGAGGAGGUAAGCACCAAUGCAUUUGUAGCAUUGAAAUCUUCCCUUUGUGAUACCACGGAGUCAAAAAGAACUUUCUAGCAUGUGGCCUGUGGAGGCCAGGGUCCUGGGAAGCUCCAGGGACGGGAGGGCAGGAGGAGCUGUGGGUGUCACCUUGACAGCUUACCGGGGCCUCAGGCUGGCCACAGGAGGAGCUAUGAGAGGGGCAGCAGGGCGUGGGAUUCCAGCGAGGCUGAAAGGGAGGCACCAGAGAGGAACAAUGCUUUCCCACAGACGCAGCAGAGUUGUUCCUGAGAUAUUUUUUUCUGCCCCCAGCUCUAUGUUUCUUUAAUAUAACAACUUAGAGAGUAGAAUGAAAAAAAGUCAGCCUGAUACCCUAAAUAUACCACAUGCCCCCAUAUCCAAGACCAGAUUCCCUGGGAUAGAAAAUGAUAAAUAUGGCUAGUUAGUCACAAUGAUCUGAACUGACUUAAUUAGAACUAGGUUGGGAUUUCCAAUGGAACCACCAAUGAUGGUUCCUGUUUUGGAAACCUGAGACAUGGGCUUCAGGAGAUUUGUGGGGGCAAGGAAGAGAGCAGGGGAGCCUGUGUGCCUUUCCACCUGAGGGAUGAUUCCGGGAACAUAGAAAACCAGGCUUCUUUCUACAAUAAGCGUUUUCAAACUUUGCCAAAGAGUUCCAUCAGGGCCUUUCGGAGUGGAUUCAUAUUAACCAAGGGUCUUCCCUCCUCUAUACAACCCACAAUGUCUUCAGGGGGUUUCAGAGAAUCGAGAUGCUAUGUGUGCAUUUGGGUAAAGCAGAAGCCACAGUCCCAUUUUUGGAAGAGCUUUCAAUACAAUUUGAAACAUCUAAACUAUCAAACAGUAAACAAAAUCCACACAAGUUUGCAAAGGUAUAAGGCACAGAGGACAAAGUGCUUACAGUCGACUGCGGAAAGGCAGAGACAAGCUUUGGAAUCUUAACCACCCUUGGCCAAAGCCUUUCAGCACAUCAGACUGGAAUGCAAUGGACAGCGUGGGGGUCAGGACUGCCACUUUUCAGAGCUUUUGAAGGGAGGACGAGGAUUCUAAGAGGCCACUAUCGCGCUGUCCUGAUGUUGUUGCUAGCAGUAGUAGUGUGUUUUAUGAAAAGCAAAACAACAUUGCAAUAAAGCCACAGAUGCAAACUAUAAACGCAUGCAGAAUGAGAAAAAAUUCUUUCAUAGAAGCCACAAUACUCCUGAGAGGUAACAGACAGGCCACAAACCUCAGGAGGCUUCCUUGGCGGUGUCAUCUAAAUGCGUUGUUACAGUCUAACCAGCAGAAGAAAUCAUAAUUUUGACAAUGUGAAAAUAUCUAGACUGUAGUCUGUAACUGCAGAACUCAUAUAAAAUGCAUCCAUUGAAAAAUAUUUUAAAGAACAUUUCUAUUUAUUUUUUAUAAUAGGUUAUUAAUUAUCAUGUAAAAAUUUUUAUUAAAAAAAUCUCUGAAGCUUCUCUUGAGAAUGCCCAUGGGGGCAAGGAAGAGAGCUGCUGAGAAGCUCAGAGUGGCCUCUCUGUCCCAGGUCAUCUCCAUUGAACAAAACGAAACAGUGGCUUAUCUUCAGGGCCUUCUAUCCCAUUGUUUGCAUCCUUACGAUGCUCUCAUAGACUCAUGGCCAGCUAGCAACACUUGCUUUAGACUUUCAAUUUUAGGUUUAAUCUGUAUAUCCAGAACUAGCAUUUAAACCUGAUUGGCUUAAAUUAAACACUAAUAAAAGAUAUUUUAACGUAUGCUUUCUUCAACUACUCCAACAUUUUAUAGCUUGAAAGUGGAUGUAGCAAUGUAUU